rnacentral:rRNA from 1 species
ACCUACGGGAGGCAGCAGUGAGGAAUAUUGGUCAAUGGGCGGAAGCCUGAACCAGCCAAGUCGCGUGAGGGAAUAAGGCCCUACGGGUCGUAAACCUCUUUUGCCGGGGAGCAAGGGCGGGGACGUGUCCCGGCCCGGAGAGUACCCGGAGAAAAAGCAUCGGCUAACUCCGUGCCAGCAGCCGCGGUAAUACGGAGGAUGCGAGCGUUAUCCGGAUUUAUUGGGUUUAAAGGGUGCGCAGGCGGGCUGUUAAGUCAGCGGUCAAAGCCCGGGGCUCAACCCCGGCCCGCCGUUGAAACUGGCAG